rnacentral:tRNA from 1 species
CAGGGAGACAACAAAAUGUAAAUAUUAAUUUUGUCACCUUAGGUCGAUCGGUAUCUCAGAUUCUUAUUUUUUAAGAAUUUCAGUUUCUAAGUUUUUUCUAGGUCACACCCAUCACUUUUUCCUGGGCCAUUAGCUCAGGUGGUUAGAGCGCACCCCUGAUAAGGGUGAGGUCCCUGGUUCAAGUCCAGGAUGGCCCAUAUCUCUAUGUUGGGGGUAUAGCUCAGUUGGUAGAGCGCCUGCUUUGCAAGCAGGAUGUCAGCGGUUCGAGUCCGCUUACCUCCACUGAAUACCACCUCUUACAUAUAUUUAAAGAGGGAAAUUGUUUUGAGUCGUGUCCUAUUUUGCUCUGAGCGAAUCUAGCUUCCUAUUUUAUUAAAUAAAUAAGAUGCUGGACUCAUUGAAUCUUUUUCAUUGUUUUCAGAGAACCUUGACAACUGCAUAGAUUAUUUUUGAAGACAAUAAGCAUCUUUAAUGAUGCAGAUUUAUUAUUUGUGCGAAUGCAUUAAAUAACAAUUCUAUUAAGCUGAUGCUUCAAUUAUUGAAGUUAUU